rnacentral:rRNA from 1 species
UCCCGGUGAAUUACCUUCGAGGAAACACACGUUCCCAUUCCGAACACGAUCGUUAAGCUCGAUGGACCAAUGAUAGUACCCAAAAGUGCGAAAGUAGGCUAUCGCCGGGAU